CCCCACGUCGCGCGUCCCAUGGCUUGCCUGGGGCUGGAGCGAGGAGCCCAUUGGGCACGACCGCACCAACCCUAGCUCCCGAUCCACAGCCAUGCACUCCUCCCUCCUCCCUCUCACAGCCGCCACACCCCAUUCCUCUCUUCCUCCUCCCUACUCCUUCCCGGAUCCCUGCCACCGCCACACCCACUCGUCUCCUCCUCUCUCUUCUAGCUAACGCCUCCUUCAUGAUCUCUGCGUCAGCCGUAGCGCGAGAGGAGCAGCGGCAGCGGAGAUGCUCCGAUGGCGGCGUCGAGUUGUGAAGCGGCGGUGCCCGGGCGCGAGUCGACAGAAGCCGGAGCGGCUACUCCGGGCCCCGAUCUGGGGGGGUUUGGUUCCAGGGCACCGACAGCUUCUUUGUCUAUGACGCGGGGCCGUGUCGCCGGGGGAAGCCUUGGAUCCAUGCAGGGGGGCUCCCCGGGGGGCGCAGAGGAGGGGGUUGGACGAGCGGGUGAGGAUGCGUGAGGCCAGAAGGAGUUUGGGGUUGCCAGAGAAGCAUAGCCCGCACGGGGGCUAGUCAUCGCUAGAGCAGAGGGGAGGAGGUCGAUGCAGGGGACGCCAUGGAUGGUCGGGGCGCUGGCUCCUCCUUUCCCCGUGCCACGGCUGCCCAGAUCCGGCGAUCCCCUCCCACUCUGGCAUCCAGGUUGGUUGACUCGAUCUCUCAAUCACCCCACCGCCGCGCUGCACACCGUCGUCAAGGACCAAGCCGCCGCCGCCACAGUGUCCUCCUCCUCGGUGGCCGCGGGUGCCCUGGCCGCCAAGCUGCCCAUUCUUAUCUUUCUGGAGGCAAUCUGGUAGUGCUGAGCGCACGAUGAUGCUGUCACGGUAUCCCCCUCCCCGGUGUUCUUAGAUCCAGCAGUAGCUCAACGCAGGAAAGCCGGUUGUGCUCGAUCUGCUCCCCUCCUUCGCCUCACAGGCUCAGCAAGCAGGAACAAUGUUAGCUCUGUUUCUCCCACUCCCCUCCCCCCUCUCCCUCCUAUAGAUUUAUCUCUAAUGGCAACGCCUAUGGGUUCGGUGUAUCAUAGCUUUUUUUUCUUUCUUCCAACUGAAGCCUGCUCUCAUUAUGCCUGCCACCUCUCUAUGAGAUCAGUAGGUUUGAUCGCCUUGUCUGCAAUUUGGCUGAUUCCAGUUAGUAUUCUUGUUCUUUAUGGGAGAUACGAGUUUGGAUGUAGCUCACUGGCCAGGAGACCUGCGAUGCCAGCAGACCAAUCUAGAUCUGCACGUGUUGAAUAUGCAAACAGUUAUGUAAUAUGUGCAGUUUACUUGCUCUAUUUUUACGGGGAUUUUGGAAUUUUCCAUACAUGCAUGUCCCAGAUCCGUUCUGUGAUUUCCAUUAUCUAUUUACUUGUGACCCAAGUGUGUCUUAUUUCCAUCUUUCUUUGUCUUGAUAUAGCUGAAGGUCAACUGCUAGCCCAUCCGUGCAAUUCACUAAUUUAAUUAUGCCUGCUUGCUCGAAGUCUAUUUUAUAGAUGGCCGGCAUAUUAUCGUGGGAGGUGUUUAACUGUUUUCUCUGGAAUAAACUGAAAGCUGGUUAUUUUGAAAAUGCAUCAUACCGCGUUGAUUUAUAAUAAGAUUGUUACGCAUCAUCAGUUUUUGGCAUAUGCUUUUGAAUUAUAUAUCGCCAUGCCAAGUUGCCAACUAACUGAUACAUGGUUAUGGUUGAGGAACAAUGUUGAGCAGUACAAGGUUACACCAUCACAGUUCAAACACAUCUUUUUUGGUUGAUAGUUUUUGAGAUAGCUUACUGCUUAUGCCCAAUGGGAGUUUAAUUGGGCAUCUUUAAUAUUCUAAGAAUCACACCGGCGCAGCACACUUAGGUUGUUUCCAGAUCUGAUGUUUGUCUAAGUCACCAAGUUAACCCACAAGAAUUUGUUUACUUUCUUGGCUAUUGUGGUUAAAGGCAUCCUUUUAUUAGAGCUAUAUAUAGUUUUUGGACAUGUUCCAGUUUGGUUAUUUUUUUAUGGAUUUUGAAUAUGUUUCAAUUUGAUCACUUUUGAGACUCAGUUAGAAUAGAUAAUUUUUGUUUCUUUACCAUAUAGUUCCUAAUCAGAAAAGCCUCAUCUGCAGGUUGGAGGCAUUGGCGUGAAGGUGUCAUGAGUUAUCUGCAAGGGCAUUGUUGUGACGUGCUCCUCCAUGUCUCCCGCGAGUUCUUGGUGUGGCGAUCAUGGCUCCAGAGAGCAUAAAAUCGACAUCAUGGAUGUCGGUGGCAGAAUGACGGAGGAGCGGGAGAAGCAGGAGCUGCUCGGACACGCUAGCGCAAGUGAGAUCUUCCAGCAUGCACCAACGGACAAGCCGGCAUUCAUGCUGGCCCAUAUCAAGGAGGCAAUCCCACCUCACUGCUUCCAGUGCUCGUUGAUCAAGUCCUUCUCCUAUGUGGUCUAUGACCUCGUCAUCAGCGCGUCCCUCCUGUACGCCGCGUUGGUCUGGAUCCCAACACUCUCGAGCAUGCAACAGUUGGGCGCCCGUCCGCUCUACUGGGUGCCUCAUUUUGAUUUUCUUACCUUGGUGGGUUUGUAUUCAGAAAAUUAAUUUGCCUAUUUUUGCUUUUUAAUCUGUGUUGGGAGAAAGAUGUUCCUCUUUGUUGAGAAAAUGUUUAUUGUAUGGACCAUACAAAGUUCUUUCUCCAAAUGUUAUUGUGUGGUGCAACUAUGAUCUGUUUUCCUUGUGCAGAGGGCUGCGACGAGGCAAACAGGUGGCGGGCGGCAACAAUAGGGGUUGGCGGAUGCUCCGAGACCAAUAGCCUACUUAGUGAUGGGAAGGAGGAUCCGACAAGUUAGCCCCCACAAUUGUGUUGUUGGAGAACUUCUGCGGGCUCAGUAAAAUAAUGAAUCUUCGUCUCCGAUGUUUUCUCUUGAAAAUGGAGCGCGGAUCGCAGGAGCAAGGAGCUGGUCGAGUGUAGUGAACAAGCAAUCAACGCGGCACAUUUGGAAGUUGUGAGAGAUGUGAAUGGCACCGGUCUUGUCAUACUAAUGAGCAGGAGCACCGGCCACAUUACUCUUCAUGCCACUCUGAGCAGUCGGCUGCUGCUUGAGAUUGAUUUCCAUGUUCAAGGGAAGGGAGACCGGAUUGAGUUCCUGUAUAUGCAAUAAGAAGGGGCAUUGUCGUGGUUGUUGCUGAAGGUGUUGGUCAGGAGCUGAUUACCGGGACUGAUGUAUGUCAACAUGCUGUUCCUUAACGUUGGCCCUCUUCUAUAAAGUUCACAUGCAACUCUCCUCCACGGUUAGAAAAAACUAAUUUAAACAUUUUGUUUCUUUGAUGGUUACUCAUUUCUCUUACCAUUGUUGUAUCAAAACAAUUGUAUUUUUGCUGAUGGCCGCUUGGGCUCAUUUUCGAAGAGAAUGAGAUGUGGAAUAAACUACUCUGAAAUGAAUAAUAAUUCAAGUGGGCGGCUGAUGCGCCUUGUUGUUUAGCGGUAUGAUCUAUGAUGGUCGGCGAAAGUAUGUUCUAUAUUGCAAGAUGGUGGCCGCUGAUGUCAAGCCUCUCGAGAUCUGAGAGCCUCCUCCAACUUCCCCUCCCCACCAAGGAUGACGUAGUAACCACAUGCAGAAUUACCUACAACUUGAGUAGAUGCACAUUAUUCACUUCAUAUUCCAAUGGUUUUACUUCCACAUCACAGGAUUUGUUGAGAAUGGGUGUGAGAAAAUUAACCAUUUGGUGGAUUUAUAUGCAUGGUACUCAGACAUAGUGAAAGCAAAGACUGAAAGGUUUCGAUUUAGAUGAUUUGGAGGUGCCUUGUCCAUCUUCUUAUCUCCAGGUCAAAAUUAAGCAGAUGUUUUAUUGCUAAAGGACAUGCUCUUACUAUCUGAGAUGGAUGAUGAUGCGCGGUACAACCAAAAAUUCUGAGUUGGGCUUUACACACUUCAGUGGGCAAGUGAAUUCCCAGUUUUUCUUCUUUCCCCUGUUACUUCUCUAUUGUACAAAGAGCAAUGAGUUUAUAUUAGCUGAAUCCUGAAUGUUAGAUUGGAAUGCAAGAGUAGCAUCACAACACGGGGGUGGAGACCUGAAGUGAAGCAGAGGGGCGGCGAACAAAGGAAAUCAGAGUCGUGCUAGAUGUGAACAAUGUCGCAGAUACUCGGACUGGUAGCCAAGAUGAUUAUUCUCAAUAACAAUGCAGAUUUGAUCCUUCCGUAGGUAGAUAAAGCAUGUUGGUUUGGUCACCUUGUUUCUGAUUUUGUUUGCAAUUGGCAAACUCUAUUAUUUCUAAUUACAUGCAUUUCAAAUCUACUGUAGUGUUUCCUCGAAUGUAAUCUGGAGUGGGAUUGUGCAUAAGAAGAAAAUGGGCAUUAGAAAUCUCUUGAAACUGCGAUCAUAUUCCAGAACCAAAGUUAUUCACGUUUACAUAAUAAGAAUUUUUCAUUUAUUUAAUGCUUAUUCAUGUUAACUGUCUGAAUGAGCUCAUCAGUUCCAUUGUUCUAGGUUAGCCAUCAAACAGAUAACCUAUUUAUUUCUUGUCCUUACUAGAGGAAUGCUGCUUAUGCCUUCUUUCCAGAUACUGUCUGAGUUGUGAUGCUCUCCAUCAUGCACACGUGGUAUCAUUUUGGGAAGUGAACCUAUUUGCCCACCUGAUUGCUUUCAGUACAAGGGAACAGUUGAUGUAUUCUUGAAAGUUGUUAGACAGGAAGGAUUUGGUAGAUUAUGGAGAGGUACAAAUGCUGGCUUGGCAUUAGCUAUAUCAACUGUUGAUCAUCUGGGUUUUAAAGAAGAAACUAAGCUAAAUUAAGGUUCCUGGUUACAGCACGCACAAUUUGGUGUCCUGAUAUCCUCUGUGUAUCCUCUUGAAGGAGGAUUGGGUGAGAUUGUUGUUGCGACAAGAAUUGGUACUAGGCUGGGUGAUACAAUAAUAGAUUUCAUCCAAGGAAUAACCAAUUUAAAUGUUCUGUUUCUUUGAUGUUUACUCAUUUCUCUUACCGUCGUUGCAUCAAAACAAUUGUAUUUUCACCCUAAAAAAAUAAUUGUAUUUUCGUUGAUGGCC